rnacentral:rRNA from 1 species
GACGAACGCUGGCGGCGUGCUUAACACAUGCAAGUCGAACGGAAGGGCCCUGCUUUUGUGGGGUGCUCGAGUGGCGAACGGGUGAGUAACACGUGAGUAACCUGCCCUUGACUUUGGGAUAACUUCAGGAAACUGGGGCUAAUACCGGAUAGGAGCUCCUGCUGCAUGGUGGGGGUUGGAAAGUUUCGGCGGUUGGGGAUGGACUCGCGGCUUAUCAGCUUGUUGGUGGGGUAGUGGCUUACCAAGGCUUUGACGGGUAGCCGGCCUGAGAGGGUGACCGGCCACAUUGGGACUGAGAUACGGCCCAGACUCCUACGGGAGGCAGCAGUGGGGAAUAUUGCACAAUGGGCGGAAGCCUGAUGCAGCAACGCCGCGUGCGGGAUGACGGCCUUCGGGUUGUAACCCGCUUUCGCCUGUGACGAAGCGUGGGUGACGGUAAUGGGUAAAGAAGCACCGGCUAACUACGUG